ACAGGGAUUGCCUCAGUAACGGCGAGUGAAGCGGCAAAAGUCUCAAAUUUGAAAUCCCCCCGGGGAGUUGUAAUUUGAAGAUUGCGUCUUGGAGGCGACCGUGUCUAUGUUCCUUGGAACAGGACGUCACAGAGGGUGAGAAUCCCGUGCGGCACGGCCCCCGGCUCCUUAUAAGGCGCUCUCGACGAGUCGAGUUGUUUGGGAAUGCAGCUCAAAGUGGGUGGUAAAUUCCAUCUAAAGCUAAAUACAGGCGAGAGACCGAUAGCGAACAAGUACAGUGAUGGAAAGAUGAAAAGCACUUUGAAAAGAGAGUGAAACAGCACGUGAAAUUGUUGAAAGGGAAGGGCAUGCCGUCAGAUUGUCAGUGUGGGUAAGAAGCGGGGUACAAAGACUGUGGAAGCGUGGCCCUCGGGUGUUAUAGCCGCAGUUCAUGCCCCGUCUCUUUCCGAGGCCUGUU
rnacentral:rRNA from 1 species